GCUCCGGUGGCCUAAUGGUUAGAGCGUUCGCUUCGAAUGCGGGAGGUCGCGGGAUUGAUCCCGGACCGAGUCA